rnacentral:rRNA from 1 species
AGCGGAGGAAAAGAAACUAACAAGGAUUCCCCUAGUAACUGCGAGUGAAGCGGGAAGAGCUCAAAUUUAAAAUCUAAUAGUCUAUGACUGUUCGAGUUGUAAUCUAGAGAAGCACUAUCCGUGCUGGACCAUGUAUAAGUCUCCUGGAAUGGGGCGUCAUGGAGGGUGAGAAUCCCGUCUUUGACAUGGACUACCAGUGCAUUGUGAUGUGCUCUCAACGAGUCGAGUUGUUUGGGAAUGCAGCUCUAAAUGGGUGGUAAAUUCCAUCUAAAGCUAAAUAUUGGCGAGAGACCGAUAGCGAACAAGUACCGUGAGGGAAAGAUGAAAAGAACUUUGAAAAGAGAGUUAAACAGUACGUGAAAUUGUUGAAAGGGAAACGCUUAAAGUCAGUCACAUUGAUCAGGGAUCAACCUUGCUUUUGCUUGGUGUAUUUUCUGAUCAAUGGGUCAGCAUCAAUUUUAAUCAGUGGACAAAGGCUGAGGGAAUGUGGCAUCAUUUGAUGUGUUAUAGCCCUCUGUCAUAUACAUUGGUUGGGAUUGAGGAACUCAGCAUGCCGCAAGGCCGGGUUUUAACCACGUUCAUGCUUAGGAUGCUGGCAUAAUGGCUUUAAUCGACCCGUCUUGA